rnacentral:sRNA from 1 species
GCCGGGUGUGGUGGCAUGUGCCUGUAAUCCCAGCUACUUGGGAGGCUGAGGCAGAAGAAUCGCUUGAACCCAGGAGGUGGAGGUUGCAGUGAGCUGAGAUCAGCCCACUGAACUCCAGCCUGGGUAACAGAGUGAGACUCUGUCUGAA